rnacentral:rRNA from 1 species
CCUACGGGGGGCAGCAGUGGGGAAUAUUGCACAAUGGGGGAAACCCUGAUGCAGCGACGCCGCGUGAGUGAAGAAGUAAUUCGUUAUGUAAAGCUCUAUCAGCAGGGAAGAAAAUGACGGUACCUGAGUAAGACGCCCCGGCUAACUACGUUCCAGCAGCCGCGGUAAUACGUAGGGGGCAAGCGUUAUCCGGAUUUACUGGGUGGAAAGGGAGCGUAGACGGCAGUGCAAGUCUGGAGGGAAAGGCGGGGGCUCAACCCCCGGACUGCUCUGGAAACUGUACGGCUGGAGUGCAGGAGAGGUAAGUGGAAUUCCUAGUGUAGCGGUGAAAUGCGUAGAUAUUAGGAGGAACACCAGUGGCGAAGGCGGCUUACUGGACUGUAACUGACGUUGAGGCUCGAAAGCGUGGGGAGCAAACAGGAUUAGAUACCCUUGUAGUC